CAAUCUGAAUUACUGUAGAUAAAACAUAGAUGCACAAUGACACAGUAAAGCAUGCGUCAUACAAACAAAAUGUUUAUUCAGGUGCUUACGUGUCAAGUAAAAAUCAUGGUGAUUGCAUUAUUAAUUAUCUAACUGAAAACAAUCAUUUUCAUGAAUACAAUAAUUUACGCAAGUGAACAUUUUAUUCAAAAUAUGAACAAUACAAAUUUAAAGCUUAUAUAUAAUUAACAAGAAACAUAUCAUGCUUUCUGCUUUCACGUCAGGAAUUGAUGAUACAAGAUCUCCGACGUAAUAUUUAUGGUCCUUUUGGGAAAUGAUUUACCUUGAUGGUUGACUAAUUACUUUUGUCACUUACCAAGAACGAAAAAGAAAACUUUGUUUAGAUAUUUAUACCUUGAUACUAUACACACUAAUGAGAUUUUGUUUUCGAACGUCGCCCAAGUAACAUAAAUAUCAAAAGGAUUCCGGUUAUGAUAAAUUAACGAACGUGAAAACGGCAGGACAAGAAAUAAAAAAGGUGACUCUUCUCACACAGUUCAGAUCUCAUCAUAGAAGGAGAAUGACAUUGGAAUUAACAUUGUACUUGAUUAGCUUGUAAAGCAGGAAGAAGUAGUUGCAGCGUCUAUUACCAUUUUACUUUUGAUUCCCGGUUUCAUUCGGUGCAUAUUUGAUACAAAAUCAAUUAAAUACAAUAAUUUGCAUAUCUUCCUAGGUUUUGAUCUCAUUUAUUCCUGUACCAUCUAAUUGAAAAAUAUUGAUGUUUUUUUUCUUUCUAUCCAACGUUUUUGAUCAAAGUCCACAAAGGAAUACAUAUAUUUCUUUUUAAAAGUAAGAACAAAC
rnacentral:lncRNA from 1 species